AUACGGAGGGUGCAAGCGUUGUCCGGAUUUAUUGGGUUUAAAGGGUGCGUAGGCGGCCCGUUAAGUCAGUGGUGAAAGGUAUCAGCUUAACUGAUGAAGUGCCAUUGAAACUGAAGGGCUUGAGUACAGACGAGGUAGGCGGAAUUUAUGGUGUAGCGGUGAAAUGCAUAGAUACCAUAAAGAACACCGAUAGCGAAGGCAGCUUACUAGACUGAGACUGACGCUGAGGCACGAAAGCGUGGGGAGCAAACAGGAUUAGAAACCCCAGUAGUCC
rnacentral:rRNA from 1 species